rnacentral:rRNA from 1 species
UAAGACAUGCAAGUCGAACGGGGUCGUAUGAGAUUAUAUCAAGUGCGGUCCAGUGGCGGACGGGUGCGUAACACGUGAGUAAUCUGCCGGAAGGAGGGGGAUAGCCCAUGGAAACGUGGAUUAAUACCCUGUGUGGCCUCAACAGGCAUCUGUUGACGGCCAAAGGUGGCGCAAGCUGCCGCCUUCCGAUGAACUCGCGGCCUAUCAGCUUGUUGGCGGGGUAACGGCCCACCAAGGCGAUGACGGGUAGCUGGUCUGAGAGGAUGACCAGCCACACUGGAACUGAGACACGGUCCAGACACCUACGGGUGGCAGCAGUCGAGAAUCAUUCACAAUGGGCGAAAGCCUGAUGGUGUGACGCCGCGUGGAGGAUGACGGUCUUCGGAUUGUAAACUCCUGUCAUGUGAGAGUAAGAACCAGGGAGUAACUGCCUGUGGUUUUGAGAGUAUCACAAGAGGAAGAGGCGGCUAACUCUGUGCCAGCAGCCGCGGUAAUACAGAGGCCUCAAGCGUUGUUCGGAAUCACUGGGCGUAAAGGGUGCGUAGGCGGCGCGGAAAGUCAGGGGUGAAAUCCCGGAGCUCAACUCCGGAACUGCCUUUGAUACUCCCGCGCUUGAGAACUGGAGGGGACAUCGGAAUUCACGGUGGAGCAGUGAAAUGCGUGGAUAUCGUGAGGAACACUAGUGGCGAAGGCGGAUGUCUGGACAGUAUCUGACGCUGAGGCACGAAGGCCAGGGGAGCGAACGGGAUUAGAUACCCCGGUAGUCCUGGCAGUAAACGGUGCACGCUUGGUAUGGGGGGAAUCGACCCCUCUCCGUGCCGGAGCUAACGCGUUAAGCGUGCCGCCUGGGGAGUACGGUCGCAAGAUUA